GGUGGCAUUCAGAUUAACUGAUGG
rnacentral:siRNA from 1 species